rnacentral:tRNA from 1 species
GGGUCUGUAGCUCAGGUGGUUAGAGCGCACCCCUGAUAAGGGUGAGGCCGAUGGUUCGAGUCCAUCUAGACCCACCA